rnacentral:misc_RNA from 1 species
AUAACUUCCCUCUAGACCUAGCUGCUGUCGAAGCUCCAUCUACAAAUGGAUAAGACUUUGUUCUUAGUAUAAGUGUAGUUUAGUUUUUGAUUGCAAAAUAAAGGAGCRAUAACCAACACUCUUGAUAGAAUAAGAAAUUGGUUAUUGUUCCUUUAUUUAGUGCUCUUUUCUUUACAUAAGUGUUUCUUUACUUCAACAUAAGAAAAGGUAUUCGAGUCUUAGGGAUUGGUUUAUGAYUGCGUAUCAUACUUUAGAUAUGAAUUUCUAAUUUAUAUACAUUCCUUUCAACCCUUUGUAAGGCUUUGUGAGAUUAUUAUCUUCKAGUUUUUUUUUUGAAKAAAAUACAAAGGUUAUCAUUUUCUGCUUUUUCUAUCUCAUAAGUAAGGUAA